rnacentral:rRNA from 1 species
UACGUAGGCAGCGAGCGUUGUUCGGAAUUACUGGGCGUAAAGAGUGUGUAGGCGGUGCUCUAAGUUCGGUGUGAAAUCUCCCGGCUUAACUGGGAGGGUGCGCUACAAACUGUCUGACUAGAGUGUGGGAUGGGUAAGUGGAAUUCCUGGUGUAGCGGUGAAAUGCGUAGAUAUCAGGAGGAACACCGGUGGUGUAGACGGCUUACUGGACCAUAACUGACGCUGAGACACGAAAGCGUGGGUAGCAAACAGG